GGGGGUAUAGUUCAGUGGUGGAGCACAUGCCUGGCAUGCAUGAGGUCCUGGGUUUAAUCCCCAGUGCCUCUA
rfam:Camelus ferus unplaced genomic scaffold scaffold463, whole genome shotgun sequence.